UGCUCCAACGUUAUAAGACAUUAGGGGUU
rnacentral:piRNA from 1 species